UACGUAGGUGGCGAGCGUUGUCCGGAUUUACUGGGCGUAAAGGGAGCGUAGGCGGACUUUUAAGUGAGAUAUGAAAUACCCGGGCUCAACUUGGGUGCUGCAUUUCAAACUGGAAGUCUAGAGUGCAGGAGAGGAGAAUGGAAUUCCUAGUGUAGCGGUGAAAUGCGUAGAGAUUAGGAAGAACACCAGUGGCGAAGGCGAUUCUCUGGACUGUAACUGACGCUGAGGCUCGAAAGCGUGGGGAGCAAACAGGAUUAGAUACCCU
rnacentral:rRNA from 1 species